CCUACGGGGGGCAGCAGUGAGGAAUAUUGAUCAAUGGGCGGGAGCCUGAACCAGCCAAGUCGCGUGAGGGAAGACGGUCCUACGGAUUGUAAACCUCUUUUGCCGGGGAGCAACGGGGUCCUUGCGAGGGCCCGAUGAGAGUACCCGGAGAAAAAGCAUCGGCUAACUCCGUGCCAGCAGCCGCGGUAAUACGGAGGAUCCGAGCGUUAUCCGGAUUUAUUGGGUUUAAAGGGUGCGUAGGCGGUCAGGUAAGUUAGAGGUGAAAGCUCGAUGCUCAACAUCGAAACUGCCUCUGAUACUGUCUGACUAGAGUGUAGUUGCGGAAGGCGGAAUGUGUGGUGUAGCGGUGAAAUGCUUAGAUAUCACACAGAACACCGAUUGCGAAGGCAGCUUUCCAAGCUAUUACUGACGCUGAGGCACGAAAGCGUGGGGAGCGAACAGGAUUAGAUACCCCGGUAGUC
rnacentral:rRNA from 1 species